GAUGAACGCUGGCGGCGUGCCUAAUACAUGCAAGUCGAGCGAACAGAUGAGGAGCUUGCUCCUCUGACGUUAGCGGCGGACGGGUGAGUAACACGUGGAUAACCUACCUAUAAGACUGGGAUAACUUCGGGAAACCGGAGCUAAUACCGGAUAAUAUAUUGAACCGCAUGGUUCAAUAGUGAAAGACGGUUUUGCUGUCACUUAUAGAUGGAUCCGCGCCGCAUUAGCUAGUUGGUAAGGUAACGGCUUACCAAGGCAACGAUGCGUAGCCGACCUGAGAGGGUGAUCGGCCACACUGGAACUGAGACACGGUCCAGACUCCUACGGGAGGCAGCAGUAGGGAAUCUUCCGCAAUGGGCGAAAGCCUGACGGAGCAACGCCGCGUGAGUGAUGAAGGUCUUCGGAUCGUAAAACUCUGUUAUUAGGGAAGAACAAAUGUGUAAGUAACUAUGCACGUCUGGACGGUACCCAAUCAGAAAGCCACGGCUAACUACGU
rnacentral:rRNA from 1 species